GGCAAGAUGGCCGAGUGGUUAAGGCGUCAGACUUGAAAUCUGAUCCCUUCGGGGUCCUGGGUUCAAAUCCCAGUCUUGUCG